rnacentral:lncRNA from 1 species
GAAGAGGCAACCAGUGUUCUUCGGAGAAGCCCAGAAAAUUGAAGUAUCGUUCUGCCCUAGAAAUCCAGUCCUCUGGAUCAGUGUUGCCAUUAAAUCGAUCUAAAACGACAACUUCCAUUAGAGUACGUCGAUGAAAGCACCAAUGAAACAAACUCAAUUCCAACAAAAGCACUUUUAUAUAUAUUAAUCACUCAAUACGAGUUACAAUAUAGAAUACGC